AUGCUGUUUAUACACGUGUGUGCCUGGAAAAGACACAAUGGAACAACUCAAGGAGAAAAGGCGCUGCGAGGAGGAUCCUCACUGGAGUCUGCGGUAGCUCUUACAGAGUUCGUGGUCCCUGAUGUCUCCCCACCCUCCGUUCUUGACGUGAGGGGACAGGGGAGCCAUGGAGUACCUUUUACUCACACUCAUCGCCUCGGGAAACAGGUACUGUUGGUUGCUGUUCAAGAGAGAAUCGAUUUUGGCACUCUGGGUGGACGGUCUGCAGGAUUUCUUGUGGUGCAUGCCACAGUCCCCCGUGUGAAAAAUCCUGGGGAUUUCGGGAACCAGCACUUUCCAGAACUUUGGAAGACAAGAGACAGUCAAGUGCUGCAGAGUCCAGUCCCAGUUGUAGUCAUCGUAGGUGCAGAAGGCGUCCGUGCACUCGAUGAGCUUCUGGUAGGUGUCUCUGCCGAAGGCCAUGCCCAUGUUGUGCUCCGUGGACUUCCACGUCUUCAUCUCCACCUUGUCGGCGCGGCCGGCGAAGCCGCCCCGCACGGGGCUGUAGGUGCCCAGCGAGACGAGCUGGCACUCGGGGCACUCGCGCCGGCGCAGCGCCCAGAGCUGCUUGAGGACGUGGUAGAAGUCGGGCGCCAGGUAAUGAUCCUCCUCCAGGAAGAGCACGGGCCCCGCGUGCUCCCGCAGCGCCCGCACGCGCUCCCACACGAAGUGCAGCUUCCACCACCAGUGGUGCUUGGUCUGCGCGAAGCGCGCCUCGCGGUAGUGCCCGAACGAGUCGGGGAACUCGGCGUUGAUGCAGCCCAGCCGCAGCGCCGCCGCCUUGCCCACGUCGCGGGGGCAGUCGCGGGGGUCGUGGCCCGGGAACUCGCGCGGGUACAGCUGGAUGCUGAACGGGAAGAACACCUGCAGCACCGGGCAGAAGUCCACGCGGGCCGCCAGCCGGUUCAGCUCCUCGGCCCACAGGUCGUGGCUCAGCACCAGCAGCACGUUCUCCACGCCCGCCGCCCGCCGCAGCGACUCGAGCAGCAGCCGCAGGUGCUCGGCGCGGUCGUGCACCUGCACCACGAGCACCACGUCGGGCCGCGCCGGGAAGCGCCCGGCGUUCCGCACCGGCUGGUCGAAGUUCAGCCGGUACACGAGCGAGCGGUAACUCAGCGUCGCGUUCUCCGACAGCACCUCCGCCGCCACGACGGCCGACGCGUUGGCGGCGGGGCGGCGCGCUACCGCCGGCGGGGGCUCGCUGACCCGCGGCGGCUCCCCGGUGUUACCGGGACCGCCCCGCUGCUGCUGCUGCUGCUGCUGCCGCCGCCGCCCGCCGCCGCCGGUGCCCCAGAGCGCCAGGGCGCAGAGCGCCAGCGCCAGCGCCAGCAGCAGCACCUUGCGCUUGUAGACGCGCAGCCGCAUCGUCCCGGCGGCGGCGGCCCCGCUCCGCCGCUCCCGCCGCCGCCGCCGCCGCUCCCGCUCCCAGCGCGCGCGCGCCGCCGCCGCCCCGCGCGCACACGUCGCCGCUCCCCAUUGGCCGCCGCUGCGCCAACCGCGCCGUCGCCAUUGGUCGGA
ensembl:lncRNA